rnacentral:tRNA from 1 species
GGGCCUGUGGCGCAGGUGGUAGCGCACCUGCAGGGCAUGCAGGGGGCCAGGGGUUCGAGUCCCCUCAGGUGCACCA